rnacentral:rRNA from 1 species
AACGAACGCUGGCGGCAGGCUUAACACAUGCAAGUCGAGCGCCCCGCAAGGGGAGCGGCAGACGGGUGAGUAACGCGUGGGAACGUACCCUUUUCUACGGAAUAACCCAGGGAAACUUGGACUAAUACCGUAUGUGCCCUUCGGGGGAAAGAUUUAUCGGAAAAGGAUCGGCCCGCGUUGGAUUAGCUAGUUGGUGGGGUAAAGGCCUACCAAGGCGACGAUCCAUAGCUGGUCUGAGAGGAUGAUCAGCCACAUUGGGACUGAGACACGGCCCAAACUCCUACGGGAGGCAGCAGUGGGGAAUAUUGGACAAUGGGCGCAAGCCUGAUCCAGCCAUGCCGCGUGAGUGAUGAAGGCCCUAGGGUUGUAAAGCUCUUUCACCGGUGAAGAUAAUGACGGUAACCGGAGAAGAAGCCCCGGCUAACUUCGUGCCAGCAGCCGCCGUAAGAC